rnacentral:lncRNA from 1 species
CGGGAUGCAAAUCUCUACACAAUCCUUGAAGAUUAUCGCCACCGAGUCCAUGUUGGUUCCAUCUAUGCUCCACUCCUUCAACAUUACCAGCAAAAACAAGCAAAAACGGAGGCAAAGAACCCAAUUCAUAAAUUCUAUACUUCUUUUGUAUUCUCAUCCAGUACUCUAAUUUCUCUCUAUAUCUCCCUUCUCUCCAUUUCAACAGGUCUAUCACCAUUACUCCUGUGUUAAAAUAGCAAGGCUUUCUUCCUUUAAACGACGCCGCAUAGACCUGGUUCGACCAGAAUCUCGAAUUGAAGUAAUUUGUGAAGUUAGC